UCGUCAUAUAAAAAUGUCACAUAUGCAUACUAUUUAUAGCUGUAACAUAGCAGGCAGUAAAAAAUAUUUUACAUUGAAAAUAUUCAUAGCAUUCAAAAGCAUACUUCUAAUAAAUUCAGACAGAAACAUUCCUUUACAUAAUCAGUUCACUAUGGUUCUAUUUUUGGCUGCUCAAUGUAUUAUACUUUUCCUUUCUACAAUUUGAAUGCAAAUAUUUUCCUGGAGAUGGAUAACUUGAAUUCCGCCCAAAACCUGCAUAUCUCCAGUACGUCAGGUAAGAUGCACGCAUGUUGUCCUAGAGGUCUUUUCUGCCCUUUAUUAUGCUGCUUUCUGCAUUCGUGGAAGACGUGGUUCUAUGACCAUUUGUUAUAUUUCACUUAAGCAGAUAUAUAAUUGAAGAGUAUUGCCAUAUGGUUAGCAAAAACAUUAAAUAUCACCUACACUUACUGCAGUUGUUCAACAACACACUUACACGCACACGGCAAAAGGUUAACUCAAAAUACAUUUAAAUGCACCUCACUCUAACUACUUUCAUCCACCAGGCAUUGCGCUGACCCGACCCAGCACAGUAAACCAUGAGUCAACACUCUGACAUCCUCAAGGCUCUCUCCUAUUCUCUAGGCAUUCCUAUAGGUCCAUGUUCAUCUGUGUUGACACCAUCGGUAGAAAGGGCUGAAGUGAGGGGGAACAUCUCUGCAAAUAUCUUAUAUAACUUUGUUGAAGCAAUUUGCCACCACCAGCAUGGGAUUGGAGGAGUUCAUUGAAUUAGUCACCUGCAGGAAGAUGGGCCCAUGCAGACAGACAGAUAGGCCACUGACAAGGGACGGAGAGCCAGAGACACAGGACAAAUAAGCCCCAGCAAAAUCAAUACAGGAUAAUGACAUUGCAGGGGUGCCAAGAAUAUCCCGCUCAGCAUACAGAACAGUAAAGACACAAACGCUUUACACAAACCACACUUUAUUCUGCCAAUUCGUCCUCAGAUCAAGUCUAGAGAGAUACAAAGAAAAAAAUUUGGGUUUGCAUUGUACUCCAAUAUGUUGCUGGAUUCUUCUGCAGCAGCGCUAAUCAGGAAGAGUGCAGUCUUCUUCUGUAAUGACCAUCACAGCUUCCUUUCUGUGCUAGCUGCUAAAAUACUUUCAGAUUCAAAUGAGGGCUUACCUCUAGAGUUAGCUAAAUCUUUUAAAUCUUCUACUGCUGCCACAAGAUAAGGAAAGUGUGUGAGAGAGGAUUGCUGCCGGCCCUGCCAGCUUGCUAUCACAGGACUGGAGCCUAGACUGGAGCCCAUUCAGUCAGCCACUGAGGAAAACACCAGAAAUGAUGGUUUUGCAUUUAAACACUAUUGGACGUGCCUGUGCUAAUAUAUGGGGAGGAACACUAUGAUCGUCACAGUGUCACUAGCCAGUGGUCCUACAGUAUAUUUCAGUUUUCAAACUCCUGCGCCUCCAUUCUCCCUCGUCCCUCCAACCUCCUCCAAGUUCCUCCCUCAAUCCUUCCCUCUACGCCAGGCCGAGGCAGGUAGCAAUGUGUCUCAGAUCCGAGCUAUGGGAAGAUCAUAUAAGCACUUACAUUACUGAUUACAUUUGGGGUAAUUAUACAUUGAGAAGUCCAUGUGCAAUGGCAAUGUAAAAUAAUACAAGGAAAUGAUCAAUCACGUGCACUUAUUAAGCAAAGAUGUGAUCACUGUCAUCUACUUUCAUUAUCAGCCUCAAUGUCAUUGUGGUUGCACUGGUUUUAUAAAACAAACAAACAGGGUAAGCGUGUGUUUAGGGAUAACAGUGUUUGUGAACUACAGUAAACCAACAGACACUGUCUGUCAUAACCACAUCCUUACACUAGCUGUGUAAUUUAAUCUGUACAUUCACAAUCAGAAACUCCAAAUACUAUGUAUUAAUUGUCAUUGUCAGCUCAACCCUGGAUCCCUGAGCUCAGACUUUGGCCUUGGACCUUUCAAACCUUAUCUGGACUCUUCUCUCACAUACAUAAUUUUAAGUAAUCCACCCAUCUUAACAACUAAGACAUUUGACUCCAUACACUCUGAUUUCUAUCUGAAAGAUGACUGACAUGUUGGUAGCAUUUUAAUGCAUAGCUGGCCAGUGGCAUCUUGAGUGUCCAUCCAUCCUAGUACUGGCCAGUGGCAUCUUGAGAGUCCAUCCAUCCUAGUACUAAACCAUGCAAACAGGUCUUUACAGGAUCAUUUUCAUUUACCUUUCUGUUUAAAUCUUAUGGGCACACAUUCUACUGCCGGAGUCCAAGGCGAACAUGAACAUGUAGGGUACAAAUAUCUAUGAAAAUUGCAGACAUGAAAGUGAUGUAACCAAUAAUGAGUAUUAUAGUUAAAUAGAUGUUGUACAAUAACUAGGUCAACCAUGGUGGCAAUGGAUAACAAACUAUGCAACAGGGAUUUGUUCUUGCUGUUGUAGCAGAUGUCUGGCUUUGGAAUAGUAUAUUGCAAUGCAUAUUAUUUAACCACAGUUUAGAAUUGCAACAUUGUACUAUUCUAUGUGCUUGUUUUGUUGUGUUUUUGUUGCUUUUAAUCUGAACAUGCAAGCCUAACAAUGCUGUUGCAUAAUUGAGAAGCAAAUAACUGAGUUAUUUCAUCUUUUUUAUAUGCCUCUUACAAUAAUUCAGGCAUCACAUUCUAUGGUAGUUUCAAACAUAUCUUAUCGCAUUGUUUUCCUGCUAAGUAGUGUGUGGAUCAUUAACCUUCAUAACUACAGCAGUUAUGAAGCCCAUCUGUAGUUUAAAAAAGUGAAAUGAAAUGACAAAGUAUCGUUCACCUGCUACUGAAUAACAGUGAUUGGGGUUUUCUGUUCACACACUAAGCCUCAUACACCACCGUGAUCAAUACCAAACCUCAGAUAAUGAUCUCUCAAUGAAGUUGAUGAUCAUUGGCCACAAUCUAGACAGUGAUUUGAGGCAAACUCAGAACUCACUGACAAAAUUACAGUCCACCACACAUGCAUCAACACAAAACUAUGUCAGACAGCUUGAUUUAAGGGAUGGACAUAAUCCCAGAAAAGCGAAUUUGGUGACUUGAAGAGGAUAUGGACACCCAGACAGAAAUGUUUUGUAGAUACCGAAGACUUGAUUGUAAUUAUGACAAAUUAUUAAAAAGUUCUCAGCAUGCUUAAAUAACAGUCUGUAGUGGGCAGUCAGGACCUUAUGUUAAAAAAAGAAAAGAGAUUUAAAUGUAAAGAAUGACAGGGUUAAAACAAUGAAGUAGUAAUCUAAAAAAGUGACAUCACCUAUAAAUAUCUUUGUCAUAAAUGACAUGUACUCUGUAAGCUCAGUCAGGUGAGAUUGUCAUAAGGUGAAGUGACUGAACUGUUUCGUAAGACUAAUGCGAUUGAGCCUGGGUUCCAUAUGGCACUGAUCUAUUCCGCUGUCCUGGGUUCUUUUCGGCCAGAGCUAAAGUUCCAAAGAACAUUCUGAAUGUGGGUUGCUACACCUCUACUUAACACACAUUAUGGUUACUGCUCUCUCUUUUUGUUUGUGCAUGGUCAGCAGAUUUGAGAACGCACAAUGUUAUUAACAUGUAACAUACCUGUGUUUGAUUUCAAUCUAGUUGCCUAGUGGUGUGUCCAAUGUGGAGUUAAAAAUGGUUUCAUCAUGUGCAUAGUCCCCCUAAAAUGUCCUAAUUCAUUAGGUCUUUUUUUGUCCUUCUGUUACAGAAUUUCCUACCCGUGUCUUUAAAAUACUUUCUGACCCUGGUGGCAUUUUAUCAACUUAAGAACGUUGUAUCGUCUACCACUUUGCAAAUGCUGGCUGGAAAUCCACGUUUAUUUACUUUUAGUUUGGUCCGUGAUUGCUCAACUUCUGAUUUAAAAUCUAAACAGGUCUGAAGUUAUAAAUGGAAUUGGGAAUUUAUUUUUAGUCCUGAACCAGGCUUGAUCUGUGUCUGAGAAACCACCCCUUAGGGAUUCAGGCUGGUGGGUUGGGAUCAUCAAUUCAUAGUGGGGCAAUGGCUUAUAAUGUUAUAAUGUUAUCAGUAAUUGUACCAUGAAAAUUAAAAUUGAUUCUAUAUAAUUAAAUUGUCAAACUGACAUGCAACCUCACUGACUCAUAUCGUUUGCUUGCAUCUCUCCUGUUCCUUAUUAUUGUUGUGUACUGUAGUCAGAAAUGUUUUAGGGCCGUGGCUGUGCAGUUAACUUUAAAAAAAAAAAGGUAUCGCUAUCACUAAAGAUCCAGAAACAUCUGCCUGUAUGGAUCACAUUGUGUGCAAGUAUUUAUUCUCUAUACACUGUUUAUGUACUGUAGGCUAAAUGUAGCUAGCUCCCCUAACUUUUCUUGCUUAUCUGCUGCUCUGAUAAUUUAGCAUGCUUCAUAUAGAUUUAUGGACAUCAGAAAGAAACAUUUCUGAAAUGAAAACUAAAGCUGCUGUUUUAAAAAAAAAAACAUUUCCCAAUAUAACUCAUAUGUUUCGUGAACUAAAUGAAAAUCUAAGCACAAUUUCACAGAACAAUUUCACGAUUUCAAAGGAGACAUCCCAGCAUUCACCCUGUAAUCGAGGGGGCAACUUUUGUGAAUAAGAUCAGCACUUCCGAUUAAAUUAAAACUGCAUCCAGUUUCUAUGGAGAUUCCAUAGAAACUGGUGAUGGCUGUGCAUAUGGGCUGCCUACUGAACUUUAGCGAAAGCGCCAAAGUUCAUAAAGGAUGGAUAGGUAGCCACUACAUACCUUUUAAUAUGAUUUGUUAAUUUAUUUGCAUAGUCUCACCCAGGCCACAUAUUUUAUACACAUGCUGUACCUUCUGAAACUAAAUUUAUGAGUUUGGUUUUUCUGAGAUUUCCAGCCUGGCAUGUCAGAGCAUUUUGUAACAGUCAUGUUUAUGCAAAAUAAUGUACUUGAUUAACCAAGUGGAUUUGAAGCCAACAGUGGUAUACUUUUCCGGCAAAGAUGGAGCAGAGCCGCAUUUAAGGAAGAAUAUUCUCCUCUAUUGGAGUGGCUAAAAGCAAGCUUGCUUGCACUUUGAGAUCAAUCCCAUACAGCAGUGGUUCCAAAACCAUGGGGCACGCAAUCUGGGACACACGGUGGUGUAACUAUUUGAGUGCAGGGGGUACGGCUACACAUUGUGGGGCUGUACCCCCAUGCUUUGUCUCUGUCAUGAAAGUAUUUUUAUUUUACAUCAUGUCUUUCUAUUCUGUUAUCACAAUCAGAAGCCAGUACAUCUACAGCUGGAUUGGCUUCACAUGCGUAUAAAUGUUGUGAAGCUGGUUUGGUAGGGAGGGAGUCAAAUUGGAAAAUAUGUGGCUAUAUCCAUCAGUUGAUGUAACUGCUUUCUCAAAAAGAGAAAAUGUUGUUUAAAUUGAGAUUGCAAAUUAAUUGUCAUGAAAUAUAUAUGAUAAAAAAUGUAUAGGUCAGAAAAUCUAAUUAAUUAUUCCUUUGAAUUGCAUAACAUAGCUUACCUACAAGAUGUCGGCUGUACCAUAAACCAUGCAUCUAACUACUCUAAAACAGCACAAUAAACCGUGUGUUCCUAUUUUAACAGAAUUAAAGUUGUUGGGAUUUAUGGAGGGGCCGUGCCUUCAGCAUUCCAAGUCACUUUCCAGGAUAUUAACUAGCCAAUAACCUUAUUCAUUCAAACUCUUAGACAGGAAUUUCCCAUUUUUCUUAACACAAAUAACUGUGUUAACUGAAAAUGAAAUCACAGGACAAACUACAUGGUUCUUAGAAAUGUGGGUGUUUAUCAGGCAGCAGCAGCAGUUUUUAUCCUCUGAGCACACAGGACAGGCUUAAAUUCAAUCAAACGCAACGUAUCGACUUCUCAAACUUGUUAUGGGAACAAAUCUUUAUUAAAAAUGAUCCUACAGUACAUGCUCUCAUUGCCGACUACUAUUAUUUGCGAGUACUGAAGGCUGCUAUAAUUUUAAUGACAAAUAUAUAAUGCGUACAACAUUACUUUGCCUUUUAAUGUUCUGUGGUAAUAUUUUUUUAGAUUUCUGAGUAUGAUUUGUUGACAGCGUGUUGUUCAUGUAAUGUUCUGCACGAGCAAGUAUUUUACUGAUUAAAAAGAUGUGUGUAAGUCGUCAUUUCUAUUCCACCCCCAUCUAACCAGAGGCUGGCUGGGUGGUGGUUUACUGUUAUUUUGUUUAGCAUAUAUCCCCAUCUCUGACACAAUAGAAAGCUGAUGAUUUCUCUUCCUCUGAAUGUUUCUGUGCUGUCUCGAGAGUAACGCAGUAUUUUGUUCAAUAACUCUACUGACAAGCUUACCAACAAGCUAACUGACAGCUAACUUCACUAACCCUGCUGAAGUGGGCAUUCUAAAUUGUGAUGCUUUCCUUUAUGUCACACACAACACUAGAUGAACAGCUUAUUGGGGAUGUGUUUAUGGUGGACCAUGGUUAGAUGUGCACCCAAACCCUAACAUCUACCUCAAGGGAAAUAAUGUGUUUUACGAGGGUUGUUAUCAAAUCUGUUUUUAGACCUUGGAUAAUUGGGUUAACCUACUACUGAAAUCUUCCAGUAUAAUUUAAAUGAGAAUAGGAUAGUUCCUACAUAAUUGUCAAAUGUAAUUUUUUUAGGUCAUAUUCUACAUUUUAGUUGCAAUACAAAGCUAUUUCUCAAGAGAAUGACAGACACAUACUGUUAAAACAUAUCUUAAAACAUAUGUACCUUUUUCUAUUAAUCUGAACUUCAUGAAUUGUUUUCAUGCAUGGUUUUCAUAUUUCAACGUAAACCUCACAAAGGACUACUAUUUUAACCUUUUCUCUCAAAGGCGACGGCAAUUUAAAUGUUUGGAUAGUGGGACUUUUAUAGUGCAUAGAAAUAGUCUCAAAUUCCCUUUAAUAUCAGUCCAUUUACUUGAUCAACUUUGAGGAUGCAAUUUACCAGAUCCAAAGAACUGAUCACCAGACCCAGCAACCUACCAACCUGUGACUGGUGAUUAUUGACUUGAAUUAUUUUCUAUCAAAUGUGAACAUUUCGCUAAUGUAAUACCUCUGUCUUUAAAAAAGAAAAGGUUUGGAUCAUCCUAUCUGAAAGUGCUAGAGAACUUUAAAGUUCUGCUCUGAAAAUUACUUCUGGGCCACAGACAAGAGAUUGGACUAAAUAAUAAUAAGCAGCAUUUGUACAGAUAGUGGGGAUAUUUUGAAAUGAGUGUAAGAACAUGUUUGUAUCCAUCUGUGCAUCUACCAAGCUAGUUAGGUAACCUAGGUACACCAAUUAUUCUGCAAAGUUUGGUCAACAUUAACUGUGAGUGAACCGUGCUCAGCAGGCGGGUCAAAGAACACCUUAUACCAGUGUCCUACUGUAACUCGCCAACUAACAACGUCCCUUGUUCUUUGCUAAAAUUCUGAACCCAUUCCAAAUGAAAAUCAAAUUGGGUAGCCAGACCGGUCACUGGGUCCUCCCUUCUCUGAGCGGACUCCUAUAUUUAUUCCCUUUGUGCUGUGUGCACAGAAAUGUUUCCUAAAUCUGAGGUAAACUAAUCCCCAAC
ensembl:lncRNA